rnacentral:rRNA from 1 species
UACAGAGGGUGCAAGCGUUAAUCGGAAUUACUGGGCGUAAAGCGCACGUAGGCAGUUUUUUAAGUCAGAUGUGAAAGCCCCGGGCUCAACCUGGGAAUUGCAUUUGAAACUGGGAAACUAGAGUGUGUGAGAGGGGGGUAGAAUUCCAAGUGUAGCGGUGAAAUGCGUAGAGAUUUGGAGGAAUACCAGUGGCGAAGGCGGCCCCCUGGCACAACACUGACGCUCAGGUGCGAAAGCGUGGGGAGCAAACAGG